GACGAACGCUGGCGGCGUGCUUAACACAUGCAAGUCGAACGGUGAAGCGCUUGCCUUUUUGGUGGGUGUGGAUGAGUGGCGAACGGGUGAGUAACACGUGAGUAACCUGCCCUCUUCUUCUGGAUAACCUCAUGAAAGUGGGGCUAAUACGGGGUAUUCCGGGUCUGUCGCAUGGCGGGUUUGGGAAAGAUUGCGCCUUUGGGUGUUUUCGGUGGGGGAUGGGCUCGCGGCCUAUUAGCUUGGUGGUGGGGUGAUGGCCUACCAAGGCGGUGACGGGUAGCCGGCCUGAGAGGGUGGACGGCCACACUGGGACUGAGACACGGCCCAGACUCCUGCGGGAGGCAGCAGUGGGGAAGAUUGCACAAUGGGCGCAAGCCUGAUGCAGCGACGCCGCGUGAGGGAUGGAGGCCUUCGGGUUGUGAACCUCUUUCGCCAGUGAAGCAGGCCUGCUCCUGUGUGGGUGGGUUGACGGUAGCUGGAGAAGAAGCGCCGGCUAACUACGUG
rnacentral:rRNA from 1 species